UGACGUCGGCGGCAGCCUCCCUGUGGCCGAAGGGGCUGCGGACGCGGCAAGUGUACCGGGCGUGGUCGCUGCGCACAGGGCGCACGAUGAGCAGCUGGUCGCAGGGCGCGUCCGUCCCGGCUCCAGCUCAGCUCCCCGCGACCUGGCCCCCACCCCAGGCAGCGCAGCCGGAGCUCGGCCGCCCCCUCCUCUGUCUCUGGAGCCUUGGGCUGAACCGACAGCUGGGGUAGGGGCUCUGGG
rnacentral:lncRNA from 1 species